rfam:Paenibacillus antarcticus strain CECT 5836 PBAT14, whole genome shotgun sequence.
GAGGCGGCAUCGAGCAUGACUCGAACUGCACUUGAUCAAAAGUUUAGGAUUUUUCAAAAAACUACACUUACUAAUUAACUAUUUUAGUGAGUGGCGUUGGAUUCUGCUCUGAGCCGAAAGGACCGAGACAGAAGG